rnacentral:rRNA from 1 species
AACGUAGGGGACAAGCGUUAUCCGGAUUUACUGGGCGUAAAGCGCCCGUAGGCGGCUUUUUAAGUUGGACGUGAAAGCUCCCGGCUUAACUGGGAGAGGCCGUUCAAAACUGGAAAGCUGGAGUGAGGAAGAGGAGAGCAGAAUUCCCGGUGUAGUGGUGGAAUGCGUAGAGAUCGGGAGGAAUGCCAGUGGCGAAAGCGGCUCUCUGGUCCUAAACUGACGCUGAGGGGCGAAAGCGUGGGGAGCGAACGGG